CUUAUCGAAAUAACAUCAUGUCGUGAUUCGAACGAGGUCGAAUCCUUCUUUUACAUUGAUAGCGAAGGUUCUUAGCCUUAACGGUGUUAUUUCAAACUUAUCGAAAUAACAUCUCGUCGAGAUUCGAACGACGUCGAAUCCUGCAUUUACUUUGAUGGCGAAGGCCCUUAGCCUUAAGGGUGUUAUUUCGAACUUAUCAAAAUAACAUACCAUCAUGAUUCGAACAAGGUCUAAUCGUGCUUUUACUCUGAUGGCAAAAUCCCUUAGCCUUAUGGGUGUUAUUUCGAACUAAUCGAAAUAACCACCCGUCGUGAUUCUAACAAGGUCAAAUCCUGCUUUUACUCUGAUAGCGAAGGACCUUAGCCUUAAGGGUGUCAUUUCGAACUUAUCGAAAUAACAUCCCGUCCUGAUUGGAACGAGGUCGAAUCCUGCUUUUACUUUGAUAGCGAAGGCUCUUAGCCUAAACAGUGUUAUUUCUAACUUAUCGAAAUAACAACCUGUCGUGAUUUGAACGAGUUCGAAUCCUGCUUUUACUUUGAUAGCGAAGGUUCUUAGCCUUAACGGUGUUAUUUCUAACUUAUCGAAAUAACAUCCCGUCGUGAUUCGAACGAGGUCGAAUCCUGCUUUUACUUUAAUGGCGAAGGCUCUUAGCCUUAAGGAUGUCAUUUCGAAUU
rnacentral:lncRNA from 1 species